rnacentral:rRNA from 1 species
AGAGUUUGAUCCUGGCUCAGGACGAACGCUGGCGGCGUGCCUAAUACAUGCAAGUCGAGCGAACCAAUGGGAGCUUGCUCCCUGAGGUUAGCGGCGGACGGGUGAGUAACACGUGGGUAACCUGCCUGUAAGAUUGGGAUAACUCCGGGAAACCGGAGCUAAUACCGGAUAAUAUUUUGAACCGCAUGGUUCAAAAUUGAAAGACGGCUUCGGCUGUCACUUACAGAUGGACCCGCGGCGCAUUAGCUAGUUGGUGAGGUAACGGCUCACCAAGGCGACGAUGCGUAGCCGACCUGAGAGGGUGAUCGGCCACACUGGGACUGAGACACGGCCCAGACUCCUACGGGAGGCAGCAGUAGGGAAUCUUCCGCAAUGGACGAAAGUCUGACGGAGCAACGCCGCGUGAACGAUGAAGGCCUUCGGGUCGUAAAGUUCUGUUGUUAGGGAAGAACAAGUACCAGAGUAACUGCUGGUACCUUGACGGUACCUAACCAGAAAGCCACGGCUAACUACGUGCCAGCAGCCGCGGUAAUACGUAGGUGGCAAGCGUUGUCCGGAAUUAUUGGGCGUAAAGCGCGCGCAGGCGGUUUCUUAAGUCUGAUGUGAAAGCCCACGGCUCAACCGUGGAGGGUCAUUGGAAACUGGGAAACUUGAGUGCAGAAGAGGAGAGUGGAAUUCCACGUGUAGCGGUGAAAUGCGUAGAGAUGUGGAGGAACACCAGUGGCGAAGGCGACUCUCUGGUCUG